GAUGAACGCUAGCGAUAGGCUUAACACAUGCAAGUCGAGGGGCAGCACAAGGUAGCUUGCUAUCUGGGUGGCGACCGGCGCACGGGUGCGUAACGCGUAUGCAACUUGCCCUAUACAGGAGGAUAACCCGUCGAAAGACGGACUAAUACUGCGCAUGCUCACAACUUGGCAUCAAGUGGUGAGGAAAGAAAUUCGGUAUAGGAUAGGCAUGCGUCCCAUUAGCUUGUUGGUGAGGUAACGGCUCACCAAGGCAACGAUGGGUAGGGGAACUGAGAGGUUUAUCCCCCACACUGGUACUGAGACACGGACCAGACUCCUACGGGAGGCAGCAGUGAGGAAUAUUGGUCAAUGGGCGCGAGCCUGAACCAGCCAAGUCGCGUGAAGGAUGACUGUCUUAUGGAUUGUAAACUUCUUUUAUACGGGAAUAACAAGAGUCACGUGUGACUCCCUGCAUGUACCGUAUGAAUAAGCAUCGGCUAACUCCGUG
rnacentral:rRNA from 1 species